rnacentral:tRNA from 1 species
GGGGUUGUGGCUCAGUGGUAGAGCACUUGCCUUGCACGUGUGAGUCCCUGGGUUCAAUCCUCAGCACCA